rnacentral:lncRNA from 1 species
CCAAUUCUUCUGUUAAAUUCACUUUUUAAAAUCACAAGGUAAAUUUUGUAAUAAUAUCUCUGUUUUUCAGAAAUCAUAUGCUCCAAGGAAGGACUGUUAAAAAGAGAAAACAAACGAAAAAUUUAGACUCACAUUACCUAAUGUCUACAUACAUCCUUUCAUGAAGCAGGACUUGCUGAACUAUGCUACCGAAACCCUUGAAAGAACCGAACAAUUCAUGAAAACUCCAUAACUCGUUUGUUUUAAAGACUCGUUCUUUUUCAUACAGUAAUUUUGAAUAAUUUUAUGGAGAUGAUAGUUCUAAUUCUUCCGAACAACCACAAUAAGUAAGUCCAAUUCCUCCUGUCAUACUUGACCACUAUAAUUCCCAGUCAUUCCAUUAAAUAAGACAAUCUAGAGGAACUGAUUCCCAAAGUUACAAUACUGAAAUUAAAGCGAAGGAACUGGAUAUACAAUAAAGCAGAGACUAUCUCCCCAUAUUGGCAAUGCUAUUAAAAUAAGGGAUAAUAGCUCUCAACUUGAACAAAUUUUCUUCAAUUUGAAUCCAAUAAUAGUCCAUUCUCCCUACGAGUUGCUCCCAGAAGUAGAUACCUCUGUACUGCAAACAGGGCAAACCUGCAGACAAAAAACCAAGUGUUAUAUCACAAUUCACAACUUCUCCAAUGCAAAUAACUCUUAAAACAACAUAUUCAAGACAACAUAAAUUAUGAAUUCUUGACACAUGUUACUAUUAUAUUUUGUAAAUGACACGAUCUAAACUGGUGGCAACCAGAGAUUUAUAUCAUGAAAUAUAGUAACUUAGUAAGUAAAAAACAGACAUUGGAUGGCAGAGUAUAAAAAAUGUGUCACGAACAAUGUGGUACAAUCAUCCAUGUUUCAGCUCCUCCACCAACUAGAAGUGGUCCUCCUGCACCUGAUUUGUUUUUUCUGUUGGUUGAGAUGGGGCGACCUGGGCCUAUAACUUUAUCGAUAUUUAAGGCCAAAAGGAAUUUGCAAGAGGAGACAGCUAAGUGAUAAAAACAUAAUUGACCCCCUUCUAACAAAUUUGAGCUUCUUCAGUAGUUGGUUUCUUGACAGCCAAAAAAUCCUUCAUUUUAGAUAAAUGGCACCCUUGAAAUCAGUCAUUGUACAAUUACUCUAAUGCCCAUUUGGACUAGAGAUCCUUUUAAGAUCUUAUACUUGUGGACCUAUUUGGACUAGAGAUCCUUUUAAGAUCUUAUACUUGUGGACCUUUAUAUUCAAUUUCUUAUUUUAUAUCCCUUCUUAAAAUUCAACUUUUGACUAAUUGAGGCUAAAGUUCCCUCCAAAGCUAAGCUAUUCUGCUGUUAAUAAAUUAAUUAAUCAUUUUAGUGAAACGUGCAGUACCAUCUAGCCCUUAAUUGCCCAGUGCGUAGAUAAUAUGCAAUGGAUGAAAUCAAUACCUACCAACCGUAGUGAGAAAUGUUUCAAACUCCAUUUUAAUUUCUUAAAUAUCUCAAAUAAUAUCAAACGUGCAGCUUUUAAAUAUAGAAAAUAAAGGGAUUUCAAACAUAUCUAUGUACCAUGAAUUGAUACUUGGAAUGUUUCAAAUUAUAUCUACGCAACCACGAAUUCAAGUUGAAAGUGAAAGGCAUAAAGCAAGACAGAAAAUGAUAUGCAGUGCAAGGUGUGCUCUUCUAGACACACAAUCAUCUACAUCCAAUUCUAAGAUGGUAUCAGAGCCUAGUUGAAUAUUCGUUGGGUCACACCCUAUCAGGUUUCCGCUAUCGGGUCACCUACCAUUUAUAUCCAUGCACCAAGCCCAAUAGUGUUGGGCGUGAGGGGGUGUGUUAAGAGUCUCACAUCGGUUAUGAGAUGACUUGAAAAUGGGUUUAUAAAAGUAAAGGCAAUCCUCACCUUACAAGCUAGUUUUGAAGGGUUGAGUUUGGCCUAACUCUCAAUUCUAAGAGGUUUCUCGAAAGUUGAGCUGCAUGUGGACUCUAAAAUUGUAGUCCAUAAUUUGAGUAGUAACAAGAUGGGCUGGGGGGUUGGA